rnacentral:rRNA from 1 species
GAUGAACGCUAGCUACAGGCUUAACACAUGCAAGUCGAGGGGAAACGAUAGAGAAAGCUUGCUUUUUCUAGGCGUCGACCGGCGCACGGGUGAGUAACGCGUAUCCAACCUGCCCAUCACUUGGGGAUAACCUUGCGAAAGUAAGACUAAUACCCAAUGAUAUCUAUAGAAGACAUCUGAAGGAGAUUAACGAUUUAUCGGUGAAGGAUGGGGAUGCGUCUGAUUAGCUUGUUGGCGGGGUAACGGCCCACCAAGGAGACGAUCAGUAGGGGUUCUGAGAGGAAGGUCCCCCACAUUGGAACUGGGACACGGGCCAAACUCCUACGGGAGUCAGCAGUAAGGAAUAUUGGUCAAUGGACGAGAGUCUGAACCAGCCAAGUAGCGUGCAGGAUGACGGCCCUAUGGGUUGUAAACUACUUUUAUAAGGGAAUAAAGUGAGUCUCGUGAGACUUUUUGCAUGUACCUUAUGAAUAAGGACCGGCUAAUUCCGUGCCAGCCGCCGCUGUAA